rnacentral:rRNA from 1 species
AGCGAACGCUGGCGGCAGGCCUAACACAUGCAAGUCGAACGAACCUUUCGGGGUUAGUGGCGGACGGGUGUGUAACACGUGGGAACGUGCCCUUAGGUUCGGAAUAACUCAGGGAAACUUGUGCUAAUACCGAAUGUGCCCUUCGGGGGGAAGAUUUAUCGCCUUUAGAGCGGCCCGCGUCUGAUUAGCUAGUUGGUUGAGGUAAUGGCUCACCAAGGCGACGAUCAGUAGCUGGUCUGAGAGGAUGAUCAGCCACAUUGGGACUGAGACACGGCCCAAACUCCUACGGGAGGCAGCAGUGGGGAAUCUUGCGCAAUGGGCGAAAGCCUGACGCAGCCAUGCCGCGUGAAUGAUGAAGGUCUUAGGAUUGUAAAAUUCUUUCAACGGGGACGAUAAUGACGGUACCCGGAGAAGAAGCCCCGGCUAACUUCGUG